GAUGAACGCUGGCGGCGUGCCUAAUACAUGCAAGUCGAGCGAACAGACGAGGAGCUUGCUCCUCUGACGUUAGCGGCGGACGGGUGAGUAACACGUGGAUAACCUACCUAUAAGACUGGGAUAACGUCGGGAAACCGGAGCUAAUACCGGAUAAUAUAUUGAACCGCAUGGUUCAAUAGUGAAAGACGGUCUUGCUGUCACUGAUAGAUGGAUCCGCGCCGCAUUAGCUAGUUGGUAAGGUAACGGCUUACCAAGGCAACGAUGCGUAGCCGACCUGAGAGGGUGAUCGGCCACACUGGCACUGAGACACGGUCCAGACUCCUACGGGAGGCAGCAGUAGGGGAUCUUCCGCAAUGGGCGAAAGCCUGACGGAGCAGCGCCGCGUGAGUGAUGAAGGUCUUCGGAUCGUAAAACUCUGUUAUUAGGGAAGAACAAAUGUGUAAGUAACUAUGCACGUCUUGACGGUACCUAAUCAGAAAGCCACGGCUAACUACGUG
rnacentral:rRNA from 1 species